CGAUCAUAUCAUAUCAUCCAAACGAGGCAGCGGUAAAAUUGUUAAUAAAACGAGGGCAUUAUAGUAAUUACGAUACAUCUGAUGUUCCUAUUUCAAUGAUAAAACCCUAAUUUCCAAUCUUUAAAACCCUUGUUUGACUGCAACGCCAUCGCAAACUCCUCUUUCAUCGCUACGACUCUCUCUUCUCCUUCUUCUUCUUCAUUGAAGCUCUUCUGAUCAUAACUGCCUUUCAGAGUAGCCAUGUGAAUCGUAAUACAAUUUCAUAAUUGGCUUAGUUAGGAGGCAGAGAUCAAACUGUUUGAUCAAUCUAGGGUUGGUCAUUCAUAAUCCAAGGCCUUUUUGAGGGGACAAUCUUGCUAUUCCUCUAUUGAUUGUCCUCCAAGCAGCCUUAGACAUCUAAGCAGAAAAGAAAGAUCUCCAGACAGAGGCGAAGAUCAAUCCGAAUCAGUUUGAGGGAGAGGAAAAUUUUCCUUCCUUUCCUUUCCUAGAUAGAUUCGAACAUUUGUUUUUCUCAUAAUUUUAAGAAGUUAAAAACAAAAACCAGACGAAUUCUGCGUUAGGUUAAACCAAACCAAUUUCAAAGUGAAGUUCGCUGUAAUAGGUAUGUGGGAUAAGAAAUCUCUAUUUCUUGCCAA